CCCGGGCAUGCGUCCCUUUAACAAACUCCUUAAGGAUUCUGCUUUUCAGGCAGAUCUGUGGACUCCUGAUCUUGACCUUGUUGAAGACAGAGAUUAUUGCGGACUAGGAUGAUCAGAGAAAGAUUCAUUGGGAAGGUGGGAUCUGAGUGGAAUCUUCACGCAUGGGCAAAUUUGGAUGGAUAAAGAGAAGGACAAGCAGCCAGGUCAAAGAUAGAGAGGAGCAGGCAUUGUAAGAAGCAAUAUUUUGUAUCAUAUAACUUUUCUACUCAAAAGACCAUUCACAGUCUGUAUCACUUAUUUCUCCAUAUCAAGUCACUCUAAAGUUUAGUAUCUUAAAAAUAAUAACCAUUGUCUAUUAUUUCUCAGUUUCUGAGGGUCAAGAAUUUGGGAGCAGCUUGGCUGGGCUUUCCUGACUGAGGGUUCUCAAGAAGUUGCAGUUAGAUGAAGACUGGGGCUAUGGUCAUCUCAAGGGACCCUUUAGUCAGGCGUCUGGACUGAGAAAACUCAUAAGGCUGGGAGGGUUGCAACAGCUAAGGCUCCCUGGGCUUCUUUCUCUCUCUCUAUGCUGUCUUUUCCUAUGAUCUCCAAAAUAUAGUGGACUCAAAGUCACUGGGCUUCUUACAUGGUGAGUUGAGCCUCUAAAAGCACAUGUUCUGAGAGAGUGCACUAGUAGGAAAAGAGAAGCAGAGAGAAGGAGAAGCUAAAUAGUAGGGCGCAUGUGGCAUCUAACCAUGUAUGCAAGUGAAUAGGCAAAUAGUAGAUGGGCAAGGGAAAGUCAUGGCCUUUGGAAGUUCUUAAUUUAACUUUAGUCAAACACUAAGAGAUUAUUCAAUGCUUCCUAUUGGUCAACAAUAUGGAUUGUAUAGCACUCAGAAGAAUCAUCACAGAAUAUAUCAACUUCAAAAGCAAUAAACGAGAGUUCCUGUAACUCCACAUCCUUGCCAGCAUUGGUGCUGUCAGUGUUCUGAACUUUGACCAAUCUAAUAGAAAAAUGGAUGUUCAGAGAGAACAACAAACAUGCCUCAAGAUACACAGCUAGUAUGUGGUAGUGACAAGAAUCUAGCACAAGCAGUCUGAUUUCAGGAUUCUGUAUCCAUCAUUGCACAAUGUAACUUCAACCAUUAUCUCCAAAAAGAAAGAUUUGGGCCAGGACUGGAGACAAGGACCCCUCUUUGGAAUCUGGUCAUGACUCCUGGCUGCUACGGCACAACUACUCCUGAUGCCUAAAUAUGGAAUCAAUGAAGCACCCACUGAACUCAUUUCAGCACUUCAUCUUUUUCCCUCCAGAAUGGCUCCUGUGCUAAUUGCAUCUGCUUCCCUCUUUGCAUCACAAUGGUAGUUUCUAUUUUGGAUUUUUAUCGUCUGUUGCAGCUUUGAGAAAUUCUUAUUCUGGUUCUGAUCCAGCCUUGGCUAUGUUUCAAAGACGCUAAAACCGCUAGUGAAGCUGGCCUCAUUUACCUUCUGGCACAAGUAUGCAUCUUUCCCAGAGUGAAAAACAGACUCCGUACCCACCCCUUAAAAACAAGUAGACAAGAAGGAAAGAGAAGUCUUGCUAGACUAUACCAGGGGUAAAGUUGGCGAGGAAUAAAACAAAUUUUAAAUCAAAUUCCUGUCGGGUGAAAUUAGCUCAAAUGAUGACCUUCAGAUUUUUUUCUAUUUCCAAAAUUAGAAAUUUUGGAAUCUGCUAAUCACUGUUGUUGUUCUGUAGGAACAUUUUAGAGUUUACAAUUAAAACAUGAAUAAUUUUUCUUCCAUAGCACAUGUCAUCAGAGAUUCUCAGUGGCCUCUCCACACUGUGUAAAGAAAAGCACAGCAGACGUACUCAGCCAGCUGCCUCUGAGGUAUCCAGAGAAAGGCCUUCUACUUAAGUACCUGUCCUAAUAAGGGUAUUUUGUAGGACAUAACAAUUUUUUAGAUAUCUCAUUUAAUCUCUAUUAUAACUUUGUAGCACGAUAGUCUCAUUAUUCCCGUUAUGCUGAUAUGUCAAAUCAAGUGUCAAAAAAUCAAAUAAGCAAUGUAGAAUACUUAGAAUAUGGUUAUCAUAAGGACCACAGAGAAAACCAAAGGAGGGAAAAGGGAUCAGAUUUCAGGUGAGCUACAUGUGAACACUCCAACAGCUGUGUAAGACACUUCCUCAUUUCUGAAAGGUCCAGGCCCUAAGGAGAUGCUGAGAAUUGUAUCCCUCUAAUAGAAAGUAAAAUCACCAUGUUCAAGGUAGAAUAAAUGGCAUAGUAGUAAACAUUGCUUAGGUGAAGUCCAAAUCUCUAGACUAGAGUGAAAUAGUAGAUCACACUAGAAAGAAUAGUUUGGUCCAGAUCACAUAUGACCCAAAAAAUUAGGUAGAAGAUUUUAGAUGUGAUUUAAUAAGUAGAAGAGUGUUUUAAAAAUUGAAAUCAUUUUAGGAUAACUCCUUUGGAAUUAUUUUUCAGAAUGACAAGAAGGGGACAAAGACUUCAAGUGGGAAAUUUAGAAGUUUGCAAUGGUUCACCUCUAAGAUAAUAAAGUUUUAAAAAGGGUAGCAUAAUGGAGACAGAGAUCCACCAUGAAGAACAUGUUAAAAGUCCUUUGGCAAUUGGUUAUUUGUGGGUAAACAGCAUGAGGGUGAACACAGAUAAACAAGGGUUUACCUCAAAUAGCUAGAUUUAAGAUGAAACUAAUGAUGUCUAAGCUUCAGGGCUUCUCAUUUGCAUAAAACCCUUCUAAGCCCCUGGCAGGGCUCCUACUGGUAUGAACAAGUGUUUCAAUUCAAACUAUGCAUCCAACAAAGGACUAAUAUCUACAAGGAACUUAAAUCAGCAAGAAAAAAAAUAAUAAUCCCAUUAAAAAGUGGGCUGAGGACAUGAAUGGACAUUUCUCAAAAGAAAAUAUACAAAUGGCCAACAAACAUUUGAAAAAAUGCUCUACGUCACUAAUCAUCAGGGAAAAUGCAAAUGAAAACCACAAUGAAAUACCACCUUACUCCUACAAAAAUGGCCAUAAUUAAAAAGGCAAAAACCAAUAGAUUUUGGUGUGCAUGUGGUGAAAAGGGAACACUUCUACACUGCUGGUGGGAAUGUAAAUUAGUGGAACCGCUAUGGAAAACAGUAUGGAGAUUCCUUAAGGAGCUAAAGUAGAACUACCAUUUGAUCCAGAAAUUUCACUACUGGGUAUCUACCCAAAGGAAAAUAGGUAAUUACAUGAAAAAAAACACAUGCACACACAUGCACAAUUCAAAAUUGCAAAGAUACGGCACCAUCCUAAGUGCCCAUCAACCAACAAAGGGAUAAAAAAAACCAAUGUACACAUAUACAUAUAUACACACCAUGGAAUACUACUCAGCCAUGAAAAUGAAUGAAAUGAUGUCUUUUGAGGCAACUUGGAUGGAACUGGAGGCCGUUAGUCUAAGAGAAGUAACUCAGUAAUAGAUAAAUAAAUAAAUAUAGUAUAUUCUAACUUCUAAGUGAGAACUAAGCUAUGAGGAUGCAAAGGCAUAAGAUGAUAUGAUGGACUUUGGGUACUUGGGGCAGAGGAAGGUUGGGAGAGAGGUAGGGGAUAAAAUACUACAUAUUGGGUACAGUAUAUACUGCUUGGUUGAUGGGUGCACUAAAAUCUCAGACAUCACCACUAAAGAACUUAUCCAUGUAACCAAAAACUAUCCCUACCCCCAAAAACUAUUGAAAUAAAAAUUAAAAAAAGAUUUAACCCCAUCUCCCCAAAAGAACACGUGUUGCAAUUGAAAGGGCAUUUAAUAUUAGUCACUUCGAAAGAAAAUAUGAAAUUCAGUGAAAGAACUUUGACAGAAGUUUUUCAGGUUUGACAAAAAUUUAUAAAACUUUUAUAACAUAUCCAUGAAUUAAGAAGCUGAAAAGACUCUAAUAAGCUAUUAAUAUCAACAACAAACUGCUAUUAAUAAUGCUAGAAAUAAGACUAGGAAAGAUAGAUAGAUAGACAGACAGAUAGAUAGAUAGAUAUUUUAUACAGAGAACACAAUGUAAGAAAAAAUACUAUAGAGCUG
rnacentral:lncRNA from 10 species